AGAGUUUGAUCAUGGCUCAGAUUGAACGCUGGCGGCAUGCUUUACACAUGCAAGUUGAACGGCAGCACAGGGAGCUUGCUCCCGGGUGGCGAGUGGCGCACGGGUGAGUAAUACAUCGGAACGUGUCCUGUUGUGGGGGAUAACUGCUCGAAAGGGUGGCUAAUACCGCAUGAGACCUGAGGGUGAAAGCGGGGGAUCGCAAGACCUCGCGCAAUUGGAGCGGCCGAUGCCCGAUUAGCUAGUUGGUGAGGUAAAGGCUCACCAAGGCGGCGAUCGGUAGCUGGUCUGAGGGGACGACCAGCCACACUGGGACUGAGACACGGCCCAGACUCCUACGGGAGGCAGCA
rnacentral:rRNA from 1 species